AUGGAGACAAAGCCUGAAAAUAAAAGUAAAAGAUCUGAAAAUUGGAACGAAAAGAAUAAGAUGCUGCUGAAGGAGUUAAUAAAGUAGAGGCUGAAAAUCAUCGAGAACAAUAAUACGGAAAAUACGGAGAACAAAAAUUCAAAAACACUAACUCCAAUAAAAUGAAAGCCUGACUUGAAGUGCAGGAAAGAAAAUCCCUUCAAAAGGAAAAUAUUCCACAGACGAUAAUAUUAAAAAAUUAACGAAUUUCGACAUGGAAUAUAAAAAAUUACAUAAGCUUCAAAUGGCGGUUAAAAAAAGCGAAUAAAAAUAUAUAGAAAUGAAAUAUGACUUAAUAGAGGCUAAGAUAAAAUUUUUGGAAAAGAAAUCUCUAGAAAUAAAAAACAAAAGUUAUUAUAUUAUCAUACAUAUAUCGGAUAACUGAACUAAACUAGAACUGAACUGGAAAUGGACUAGUAUUGAACUAAAACUGAACAAAAAUUGAAAGUGAA